rnacentral:rRNA from 1 species
UACGUAGGCAGCAAGCGUUGUUCGGAAUUACUGGGCGUAAAGAGUGUGUAGGCGGUGCUCUAAGUCUGUUGUGAAAGCUCCCGGCUCAACUGGGAGAGGUCCUUGCAUACUGGCAAACUCGAGGGAGGCAGAGGAAAGUGGAAUUCCCGGUGUAGUGGUGAUAUGCGUAGAUAUCGGGAGGAACACCUGUGGCGAAAGCGGCUUUCUGGGCCUUACCUGACGCUGAGACGCGAAAGCGUGGGGAGCGAACCGG